UACGUAGGGUGCAAGCGUUGUCCGGAAUUAUUGGGCGUAAAGAGCUCGUAGGCGGUUUGUCGCGUCUGCUGUGAAAACUCAGGGCUUAACUCUGAGCUUGCAGUGGGUACGGGCAUGACUGGAGUUCGGCAGGGGAGACUGGAAUUCCUGGUGUAGCGGUGAAAUGCGCAGAUAUCGUAAGGAAGACCAGUGGCGAAGGCGGGUCUCCUGGAC
rnacentral:rRNA from 1 species